CAAGGACAUGAAAUGAAAUUUGUAUAUGAUGUAACUAUACCACGUGUUCGCAACUUCGCCUAUUAUUAAUUUAUCAAAUACAGUCACAAAACACGUACAGUUUUAUUUGUACUUAUAACCUAAAUUUGUAAACUGGCUGUGCCUUUGGAAAUGGAAGAUAAAGUUUUCUUGCAAGCACCACCACCACCUUAUUCAUCCGGAGUUAGUUCGCCAAUGGCAGUAGGUCAAGGCCAACAACCACAAAUGGCACAAAUACAAAAUCCACCUUAUCCAUACCAUGGACAGCCCCAACCCAACUUUGGAGGGCCACAACCUCCCUUAAAUACCUACAAUGCAUCGCCAACUCCACAGGAUCCUUAUAUGUCCUCGCCUCUCAUACAGCAACCUCCAAUUGCCGCAAUAAAUUCUACACCACGACAUUAUCAACCUCGACCGUUUGGAGGGAUUGGAUUUAGAAACCCCAAACAUAAUUAUAUUGCUAUUGGUAUAAUUGUAGUGGUAUUUCUAGUUUUAUUGAUUGUUUUUCUCACCGUAUUCUUCACAAUAUUCAAUAAAACUAAUGAAAUGAUCGACGGCGCCAUACAGAAACAUGACGAAUUUCAAAGAAAGCAUUUUUCAGAUAACUGGUAAACCGACUUAUUCUAAACCGAGUGCCUACUACAUGUUGGAAGCUUUAACUAUACGAGAUUUACAAUUUUUGUAAGCUUACAGUCAACUGGCUUGCUAGUUUUAUUUUUUAUGAACUAAUCGAAUAUAUAUCUAGUCAUUUAAUCAGGUCCUGCAUUUUUUAUAUGGAGCUUUAAUGAUACUUUUGCUGGUCUGAUUGAUUGACUGUUUUGUGUGGCAUAAUUUGAAUCUUUAUAAUAUAAACAUUAGAACAACUAAUCUUAUAUAAUUAACUAAGUAUGUUAUAGAUGUAUUUCUAUUUUUGUACAUUGUAUUAUUAAUGUUACUUAUCAGUUUUUAUUAAUACUAACUUUUAACUUAUGUAUCACAUGACAUUGAUGGUGUGAUUAACGGAGAAGCAAAAACCACAUCUGUGACAUAUAUAUGUGCCUUUAUGCUCUUGUUUGUAACUGUGUGUCUUCCUAGAACCAAUUUGUAUUUGUCGUCAUUUUACAACAUUCUAGCAACUUUACAUUUAUAUUAAUGAUAAUAUAAAUAUUUUCAUAAGCGGGCCAUAUAUUGCAGAAUGUUUUUAUGAUUGGGUGCUUUUUUUCGACGUUGAAAAAGGGGUUCGCAUAUGUGCAAUGGUCUGUAUACAGUGGAUUAAAAUUGUUCUGUUGAUUUGUGAUAUGUUGGAAAAUAAUAAUGUUAGAAUAAACACGAGUUUGUUCUCCAUCUUUUAAA